GCCGCUAUAGCUCAGUUGGUAGAGCACCCGUUUUGUAAUCGGGAUGUCCGGAGUUCGAAUCUUCGUGGCGGCA
rnacentral:tRNA from 1 species